GGAAUUGAUGGCACCACUGCGCUCAACAACUGGGUUUUCUGCUGCGAAGUGACAUCCGAGAUGACAGGUUAUAUGACAGAUUAUGAAAAAGAAAGGGAAUUGGAAGUGAUCUUGAAAGCGUGCUAGAUUAUAUUUUCAUUAUUUGAGUGAAUUCGCUACUUUAUUGAUCUAAAUAACUAUUAUCAACGAUUUGUUCUAAGCGAAAUAGAGCGCAAAUUUAUUGUUCGGAAUUGGAAGAGGAAAAAGAAAACCAUUUAUGUGAGUGGUAAAAAUAUAUUGAAAUCGAUCCACUAACUAACAAAUUGUUCUAAUAAAAUGCUUUACUUUUA